GCUUGAGGGGGAGGUCAGAAGGUCAGAGAUGACCCAGUUCAGGAGGUGACCCCAUAGGAGGAGAAGAAUCCAGCCACAUGAUACACAGGACCAAGAGAACAGUAAAUGCAAAGAUCUGGAAGCACAAAAGAGGAACAGCAAGGACAGCAUGUUCCAGAACCUGGAGCUGUAAGGGGCAGAGGAACUUUGCUGAAAGGCACAUCCUUCCUGCAGAGCUUGAAGAACAAUCUAACCAUGCUGGCAUGGGGCCCAUCCCACCUGCGAUGCCAACUGAGUUUUGCUCUUGUUGCCCAGGCUGGAGUGCAGUGGUGUGAUCUCGGCUCACUGCAACAUCCACCUCCUGGGGUUCAAGCUAUUCUCCUGCCUCAGCCUCCUGAGUAGCUGGGAUUACAGAGACAACUGGAGAGAGGAUCUGUUUACAGCUGUUUGCACAGCACCUGACAUAGUGCCUGGCAGCAAGUGGCAUUUGAUAAAUCAUUGGCAGUGAGUAGAUGAAUUGCCUAACCUGGAGCUGCCGUUAGGAAGUAACCUGUUUUCCCUUUGCAGUGUUGAUGGGAACCAUUUUCAGCAUCCUGCUGGUGACUGUCAUCCUCAUGGCAUUUUGUGUCUACAAGCCCAUUCGGCGUCGGUGACAGCCAGACAAGUUCUUCAAUGAGUAUUUGGGAAUAGGAUAAGUUGUGUUGCACACGGGCCAGUGGAGAAGUUGGAAUCAAAACUUUACUACUUGGAAAUGACCUUUGGUCUGGACAGUUGGUAAACGCUAAAUGAAUUAGAAGAAAACAUCUACUAGAAAUUAUUUUUUCCUAACACUGUAGUGCAAAUAAUUGGCCCCUGAAUCUGCUUCUCAGUGUUUCUAUCUGACUGUACUUGUUAAAAGACCUGAAAGCUCCAAAGGUCAGUGUAAAGAUGGAGUGUUCAUGAGAAAGAAAACAUUCACCUUGUGAGUGCCUGUAAGAACCCCACUGGAAAGAACUCAUCAUUAAUGCUUGAAAAUGUAAAUAGAGGGAGACUUACCAUGUAGACAUUCCCUAUUUAAGAACCAUUUGGCUACAGUGGGUUAAGAAUCACAGAUUUUUUUUUUUUUUUUUAAUCUCACCUGAGUUGGCCUAGAAUGCGCUGGUUGCAAAGUGGUGUCAGCUGUGGGGAACUUGGGCCCUUAUUCCUUACCUGCAUCCGGCCCUGCACUCAGGUGCUCCCCUUGAAGUCAGGGUCACAUCAGGUAGACCUGUUACUACAUGCACCUUUGGCCUGGAAGGCUCUGGGGUUGGACUGGAAAUGUUACUAGGUUGGCCUCUCACAAAAAAGGACCCCAUCCUGCUUAAACACAUUGAUCUCUGUUGCCCUGCAUUUGAGUCUUUGUAGCCCACGGUCUGAAACUUGAGGUAGCUUUCCAGAUUUGGAAUAUAAAAGGCUCAGCAGGCGCUCUGUUCAUCCCUGGGUGGGGAGGGCCCAGCCAGAAGUGCAUGUCCACUGUACCGGCCAGUGUGUGUUUACAUAAAUUUCAUCUCCUCUUUGAAAAUGCUGCUAUUAGUUUGCACUGUUGGUGAACUGGAUUUUUUCCUCCUAUUGAAAUAAUACUUUCAUACUUAUAAAGCAGUUGUCAAUAUUUAUUUCAAGGUGCUAGAUUUAAUUUUGUUAUUAAAUUGAAAUGCUUAUCUUGUGUUCAAGCACAGCACUGAUUUUAACAACCUGCAUUUAAUGUGAAAUAACUGAAGCAGGAUACUGUAACUGUUUAACUUAAGGAUUUUGUUUGUAAUCUUGUAACAUUGAGCCAUUGAAAUGUUCACUGUUCUGUGCUUUUGAGCAAAAUGUCAAUUAAAAUUAAAGUAAAAUCCUA